CACGUAGGGUGCGAGCGUUGUCCGGAAUUAUUGGGCGUAAAGCGCGCGUAGGCGGCCCGGUAAGUCCGCUGUGAAAGUCAAAGGCUCAACCUUUGAAUGUCAGCGGAUACUGCCGGGCUAGAGUCCGGAAGAGGCGAGUGGAAUUCCUGGUGUAGCGGUGGAAUGCGCAGAUAUCAGGAGGAACACCAACGGCGAAGGCAGCUCGCUGGGACGGUACUGACGCUGAGGCGCGAAAGCGUGGGGAGCGAACAGG
rnacentral:rRNA from 1 species